rnacentral:rRNA from 1 species
UCAAGGUAUGAAGGGCGUACGGUGGAUGCCUUGGCACUAGGAGCCGAUGAAGGACGCGACGAACAGCGAUAUGCUUCGGGGAGCAGUAAGUAUGCUUUGAUCCGAGGAUUUCCGAAUGGGGGAACCCACCAUCCGUAAUGGGAUGGGACAUGUUACGUGAAUACAUAGCGUAGCGUGAGGCAGACCCGGGGAACUGAAACAUCUAAGUACCCGGAGGAAGAGAAAGCAAAUGCGAUUCCCUGAGUAGCGGCGAGCGAAACGGGAACAGCCCAAACCGGAGAGCAUGCUCUCCGGGGUUGUAGGACACUCUAUACGGAGUCAAAAAGGAAGACAGUAGGUGAAUGACCUGGAAAGGUCGGCCGAAGAAGGUGACAGCCCUGUAGCUGAAACUGUUUUCCCUCCAGAGUGGAUCCUGAGUACGGCGGGACACGUGAAACCCCGUCGGAAUCCGGGAGGACCAUCUCCCAAGGCUAAAUACUCCCUAGUGACCGAUAGUGAACCAGUACCGUGAGGGAAAGGUGAAAAGCACCCCGGAAGGGGAGUGAAAUAGAUCCUGAAACCGUAUGCCUACAAGUAGUCAGAGCCCGUUAAUGGGUGAUGGCGUGCCUUUUGUAGAAUGAACCGGCGAGUUACGAUAGCGCGCGAGGUUAAGCUGAUGAGGCGGAGCCGUAGCGAAAGCGAGUCUGAAUAGGGCGCCAUAGUGCGUUGUCGUAGACCCGAAACCAGGUGAUCUACCCAUGUCCAGGAUGAAGGUCAGGUAACACUGACUGGAGGUCCGAACCCACGCACGUUGAAAAGUGCGGGGAUGAGGUGUGGGUAGCGGUGAAAUGCCAAUCGAACCUGGAGAUAGCUGGUUCUCCCCGAAAUAGCUUUAGGGCUAGCCUCGAGGUUGAGAGUUCCGGAGGUAGAGCACUGAUUGGACUAGGGGCCCCCACAGGGUUACCGAAUUCAGUUAAACUCCGAAUGCCGGCAACUUAUACUCGGGAGUCAGACUGCGAGUGAUAAGAUCCGUAGUCAAGAGGGAAACAGCCCAGACCGCCAGCUAAGGUCCCAAAGUGUAUGUUAAGUGGAAAAGGAUGUGGCGCUGCCUAGACAGCUAGGAUGUUGGCUUAGAAGCAGCCACCAUUCAAAGAGUGCGUAAUAGCUCACUAGUCGAGUGGCGCCGCGCCGAAAAUGUAACGGGGCUAAACAUACCACCGAAGCUGCGGAUUCCGUAAGGAAUGGUAGGGGAGCGUUCCAAACCGCUGUGAAGCUGUACCGGAAGGAGCAGUGGAGCGUUUGGAAGUGAGAAUGCCGGUGUGAGUAGCGAAAAGAGGGGUGAGAAUCCCCUCCGUCGAAAGCCCAAGGUUUCCUGAGGAAGGCUCGUCCGCUCAGGGUUAGUCUGGACCUAAGCCGAGGCCGAAAGGCGUAGGCGAUGGAUAACAGGUUGAUAUUCCUGUACCACCGAUCCACCGUUUGAACAAUGGGGGGACGCAGGAGGAUAGUGACGCAUGCGGAUGGAAGUGCAUGUGUAAGUUUCGAGAUCGUCUGAUUGGCAAAUCCGUCAGGCACCAAGAUCGAGGAACGACGCGGAGUCCCCUAGGGACGAAGGUCACGAUUUCACACUGCCAAGAAAAGCCUCUAGUGAGGUGGAAGGUGCCAGUACCGUAAACCGACACAGGUAGGCGGGAUGAGAAUUCUAAGACGCGCGGGAUAACUCUCGUUAAGGAACUCGGCAAAAUGGUCCCGUAACUUCGGGAGAAGGGACGCUCUACAUGAGUAGAGCCGCAGUGAAUAGGCCCAAACGACUGUUUAGCAAAAACACAGGUCUCUGCUAAAUCGCAAGAUGACGUAUAGGGGCUGACGCCUGCCCGGUGCUGGAAGGUUAAGGGGAUGGGUUAGCGCAAGCGAAGCUUUGAACCGAAGCCCCAGUAAACGGCGGCCGUAACUAUAACGGUCCUAAGGUAGCGAAAUUCCUUGUCGGGUAAGUUCCGACCCGCACGAAAGGCGUAAC